rnacentral:rRNA from 1 species
CCUACGGGAGGCAGCAGUCGAGAAUCAUUCACAAUGGGGGAAACCCUGAUGGUGCGACGCCGCGUGGGGGAAUGAAGGUCUUCGGAUUGUAAACCCCUGUCAUGUGGGAGCAAAUUAAAAAGAUAGUACCACAAGAGGAAGAGACGGCUAACUCUGUGCCAGCAGCCGCGGUAAUACAGAGGUCUCAAGCGUUGUUCGGAAUCACUGGGCGUAAAGCGUGCGGAGGCGGUUUCGUAAGUCGUGUGUGAAAGGCGCGGGCUCAACCCGCGGACGGCACAUGAUACUGCGAGACUAGAGUAAGGGAGGGGGAACCGGAAUUCUCGGUGUAGCAGUGAAAUGCGUAGAUAUCGAGAGGAACACUCGUGGCGAAGGCGGGUUCCUGGACAUUAACUGACGCUGAGGCACGAAGGCCAGGGGAGCGAAAGGGAUUAGAUACCCUAGUAGUC